CUUCCUCCGCCCCAAGCAGCCGGGGCGGUGCACCACCGGCCCCCGCUUCCUUCUCGGGGUUGGGAGGCACCGAGGGCCUCGAGGGGCUGCGGGACUCGGGCUUGGUGUGGAGGGCAAGAGCGCUGCGACGUGCGGACUGGAGAGUCAGCCUUUGGGCUGGAGACACGGGAGCGGGUGGCUACAGUGGUUUACGUUGUUGCACGGGGCGAGUAGAACUGUCCAGGAAGAGGCCCAGAACAUACAUAUUCAGCACCAGAAAAGACUGGCACGCAAUUUUUCUUGACAAACUGGGUCUUGCUCUUUGAAGGGUGGGUGGGAAUGUGCUGUUUUUAUGAGAAUGUCAAAGAACUUCUCAGAAUCACAUUAAGCAUGCUAAUUACCAAAUAUUAAAUGCUAAUUGUUCCACACGCAGUUCGAAUGCCAAGGAAGGAAGAUGAAACUAGUAUAAGCUACUCUUGACAUUAUGUCAGGGAUGGUUUUGACACGUUUUGCAGCCUCCACCUGGAGGUGGGGAACGUUUCCUGUGUCGUCCCCAGAGCAGAGUAACAGCGUUGUUUAUGGGUGAGAGCAAGCCUCAAGCCUAGGCAACAAUGUGCCUUGCUUGCUUUUAAGCUCCUUCUAAAGGGGAGGUAAACCAAGACCGCUAAAGAAUUGCUAGGUGCCUGGGCGUGAUGGUUCACCCCGGUAAUCCCAGCACUGUGGGAGGCGGAGGCGGAGGCGGGCGGAUCACGAGGUCAAGAGAUCAAGACGAUCCUGGCCAACAUGGUGAAACCCCGUCUGUACUAAAAAUACAAAAAUUAGCUGGGCAUGGUAGUGCGCGCCUGCAGUCCCAGCUACUCGGGAGGCUGAGGCAGGAGAAUCGCUUGAACCCGGGAGUUGGAGGUUGCAGUGAGCUGAGAUUGCGCCACUGCACUCUAGCCUGGGCAACGAUAGUGAAACUCCGUCUCAAAAAAAAAAAAAAAAAAUUGCUAGGCAGCUGGGCACAGGGGCUCAGGCUGAUAAUACUAGAAUUUUGGGAGGCCGAGGCAGGAGGACCGCUUGAGCCCAGGAGUUCGAGACCAGCCUGGGCAACAUAGCAAGACUGUCUCUAAAAAAUAAAAAACAUUGCUAGGCAACAGCUUCCAUGGACUUGUUCCAGGAACGAAGAUUAUUCUUGAAAUGUCCACGUAGUGGAUAAGACAGAGUCAAUCAGUGUGUCCAGUGCUACAGGCUUGAUUGGGUUCAAUCCUGUACUUGGGUCAAGGUGUUUGCCUACAUUGCCUGUACUUCCUCCAAGACAUUUCUGCCUCUGGGUUGUAACUGCCCGUGUACUUGUCUGUGUUCCCUAAGCCAGAUCAUAAGCUCUGAAGCUGAGGAUGGUGGCUGUAGAUGGCAGUACUUGUCUGUGUUCCCUGAGCCAGAUCAUAAGCUCUGAAGCUGAGGAUGGUGGCCGUAGAUGACAGGCCUGGAUGCAGCCAGGUGCCUUGUGGAUCAGCUUGCUUUUAGGUGGUGAAGGACUGACCAUAGACAGUGGCCCUGGCAUUCCAGGACACUGCAUGGGGGAAAGUGGAGGGCCAGGUCCAUCCCAUCCCCUCUAUAAGCUGGACAAAGCUGCUCCAGCAUGUGGGUCCUCACAUGAAAAAGGCCACAUUGACAUCCUUUGUCCUCCUGUAGAGGGAGUGAAACUGAGAGGCCUCAGCCUCAAGCAGGCACAGAACUUGAGACCUCUCGGCCAGAGUGUACAGACAUUGCACAAACCUUCCAAGUUCAGAGAAGACAAAAGCCCUGAGUAAAUUACAGACAAAAAAGCCCCCAAAUAUACAGCACUGUGAAUCCAGAAAUGCCACCUGACUUCAGGUCACAAGGAAGAAAAACUGAUUUUGCCAGAAGUAGCCAUUAUUGCACAGCCCAGUUAUAAUCACAACUGACGUUAAAGUCAGGCCAGAUGACCACAGAAGUCUACAGAAAAAAACCAGGAUUGGCCACGCGUGGUGGCUCACGCUUGUAAUCCCAGCAGUUCGGGAGGCCAAAGCGGGUGGAUCACCUGAGGUCAGGAGUUCAAGACCAGCCUGGCCAAGGUGGUGAAAUUCCAUCUCUACUAAAAAUACAAAAACUAGCUGCCAUUGUGGCGUGCACCUGUAAUCCCAGCUACUUGGGAGGCUGAGGCAUGAGAAUUGCUUCAACCCAGGAGGCGGAGGUUGCAGUGAGCCACAGUCGCACCACUGCACUCCAGCCUAGGUGACAGAGCGAGACCCUGUCUCCAAGAAAGGAAAAAAAAAAAAACAAAAAAAAACACCCCCAACACCAAAAAACAAAACAAAACAAAACAAAAAAACAACCAAACAACCAGGACUGAGAAAAUCAGGCUUUAGCAUGAAAUGUUUUCCCCUAAAUUCAGACCAAUGUACCUCAAAAACCCAGUUGUAAAGCUUAAGUGUCUAGUGGGUUAACUAUCCCACCCAACCUCCUAAAAAGUGUUAUUAUAAAAGGAAAAAGGGGAGAAAGGGUAGAGGAGAGAAAGGUGGGCCAAUGGCUACUGUUCAAGGAAAUGGUUUAAAUGGGGCUGCCACGUGGUUAUGUGUCUGUCACGAGAGGCUUGUUAAGCAGUUAGCACUUGAGUCAUUUUUCUACACUUCCAUUCAGCCAGGCAGACAGCUGUGGUUAUGAGUGGGAACAAUUUUGGCCAUUAUGUGGUGUGGCUUGGUUGAAAAUGCUUAUGGCAAGCUGCCUAAGGCACCGCAAACAGCAGCAUGCCUCCUUGAGCACACAGUCCUUCUGCUCAUAAAUUCUCUCUCUACCUCCAACCUGGCCAGCCCUGCCAGAUCCCUUUCCCUUCCUCUUGGAGCACAGGCCCAGCCAUGGCCUCCACUACUCAGUCACUGCACAGUUCCUGACCCACACAUACCCCUCUAUGUGCUCACCAUCCUCCUUAGUCCUGUCCCAGGUGCUCCCCAAGUGACCUGACAUUGAGCUCCAGCUGUUGUUCUUUGAACACCCAAGACCCUCAUCUCCACCCCAUGGCUGAGGAGUUCUGGAUUUGGGGUUUGAUGGACCAGUAAACCUCUGCAGACACCAUCUAGGGACUGACACUGGGUUGCGAACUUUUUAUUUUGCAAGAUUGAAUAUUUGAAAACAACUCAAACUCCUGUCUAAGGUUCCUGUCUUUUAAAAAACAAACAGAAGGCCAGGCACAGUGGCUCACGCCUGUAAUCCCAGCACUUUGGGAGGCCAAGGUGGGUGGAUUACCUGAGGUCAGGAGUUCAGGACCAGCCUGGCCAACGUGGUGAAACUCCAUCUCUACUAAAAGUACAAAAAUUAGCCAGGCGUGGUGGUGGGCACCUCUAAUCCCAGCUACUUGGGAGGCUGAGGCAGGAGAAUUUCUUGAACCCAGGAGAUGGAGAUUGCAGUGAGCGAAGAUCAUGCCAUUGCACUCCAGCCUGAACGCCAGAGGGAGACUCUGCCUCAAAAAACAAACAAACCAACAAACAAACAAACAGAAAAACAUUGUCACACAGACAAAACCAAUAUGGAAAACUUCCAAAGAAAGGGUGCGGCAUCACUUUAACGGGUGAGCACAGCGGCCCUGGCAGCCUCCAGGCUCUAGGUGGCACUGGAUUCUUUCUGACAAGUCCUCAUCUGGGCUGUCAGAGACCUCCGCUUUGAGCUGCGCUGCCAUAGAGCUCUCUGGAAGUCCCUUGCUCCUCAGGGUCCAGUCCGAAUGCGCCUUUCACGAGGCCUCUCAGGCCAUCCUCAGGAGAAAAUAAUUUCUCACUUUGGCCAGGCGUCGUGGCUCACGCCUUGCAAUCCCAGCACUUUGGAAGGCUGAGGUGGGCGGAUCACUUGAGGUCAGGAGUUCAAGACCAGUCUGGCCAACAUGGUACAACCCCGUCUCCACUAAUUAGCUGGGUGUGGUGGUGGGCGCCUGUAAUCCCAGCUACGUGGGAGGCUGAGGCAGGAGAAUUGCUUGAACCCGAGAGGCAGAGGUUGCAGUGAGCUGAGAUCGUACCACUGCACUCCAGCCUGGGUGACAAGAGCGAGACUGUCUCAAAAAAAAAAAAAAAAAAAAAAUUCCACCUGUGAGGCCGGGCACAGUGGCUCACGCCUGUAAUCCCAGCACUUUGGGAGGCUGAGGUGAGUGGAUCACCUGAGGUCAGGAGUUCGAGACCAGCCUGACCAACAUGGUGAAACCUUGUCUGUACUUAAAAAUACAAAAAUAAGCCGGGCGUGAUGGCAGGCGCCUGUAAUCCCAACUCCUUGGGAGGCUGAGGCAGGACAACUGCUUGAAUCCAGGAGGUGGAGGUUGCAGUGAGCCGAGAUUGUGCCGUGCCAUUGCACUUCAGCCUGGGCAACAAGAGCGAAACUCCGUCUCAGGAAAAAAAAAAAAAAAAAAUUCCGCUUGUCAAUUUUUUAUAGCAGAGACUGCCAUUUUUAGGCAGUGACUGUUCUUUGUCCUUCGAUGUCUGUUCUUCCCAAAUUCUAUAGUAGAACCCUGGGCUUUUAGUUGGACACACGGAUGACUGAAAUAAUGAUAUUUCCUAGUACCCCUUGCUGUGGUCUUGUGACUAAGUUCUGACCAAUGGGAAGUUGAAAUGGGCAGUAUCCUAUUCAAAGAGAUUGGGUGCUGUUCUUUCCUCCUUCCAGCAGACUGGAAUGAGAAUGUAAUGGCUGGAGCAAGGGCAGUCACCCUGCACCAUGAGGCGGCAGCCUUGUGUUUGAGCUGAGGAUGGUAAAACAAGAUAGGAGCCUGUGUCUGAUGAUCAUGAGCAUCACACUAGCUCUGGGCCAACUAUGUUUACAAAAGAGGAGGAAAAUCAUCUCUCUUGUUAAAAGUCACUAUAGUUUGGCUUUUCUGUCAUUUUCAACCAGUCUAGUCCUAGCUAAAACAAACUCCAGCCUAUCUUAGGACAGGGCUGUUCUCUGCUGUUCAAGAGUGGGAGCUCUCUGACGGCAGUGAUGUGUGAUUUGGCUUGGUACCCCCCAAAGGUUAUCAUAUACAGUUGGCAAUCUCAAUACUUUGUGGGAUGAAUUUCAAAGAAAAAAGGUUUCUAGGUUAAGUAUUUGUAAAAACCAAAGUAAUGGCAUUUUGUGCUUUCCUGAUUUAUUAGCCCAUCUCAGGAUUAAAAUAAAAUGAAGUUCUAAAGAAAUUAUCAGAGACUGGGUCACAAAUUUAUAUAAAAGUUUAGUGAGUGCUGCAUUAUUAAGAAUAGUACCAAAAAUGAAAACCUAAGCGUUUAACAAUGGGGGUUGGCGAAAAUAAAUUUUAGAUUGAGAAAAGUGUCAUAACACAAACUUUCAAGGUGACAAAUGAUAGAAACCUGAACCCAAGAUAUAUUUUAAAAAUAUAUCUAUAUACACAUAGCGAAAGCUUAUAAGGAAAUACAGCAAAAUGUUAAUCUCAGCUGGGUGUGGUGGCUCAUGCCUGAAAUCCCAACACUGGCAGGACAAGACAGGAGGAUUGCUUGAGGCCAGGAGUUCAAGACCAGCCUGGGCAACACAGCAAGACCCCAUCUCUAUAAAACAUAAGAAAAAUUACCCAGGUGUGGUGGCAUGUGCCUGGGAGGUCAAGGCUGCAGUGAGCUAGGAUCACACUACUGCACUCCAGAAUGGGCAACAGAGUGAGACCCUGUCUCAAAAAAAGGAAAAAAGCAUCUUUGUGUGACAGGACUACAAAUGAUUAAAAUUUUCUCUUUGCAUUUGCCUUUUUUUUUGAGACAGAGUCUUGCUCUACUGCCCAGGCUCAAAUGAGGUGGCGUGAUCUCGGCUCACUGCAACCUCCGCC
rnacentral:lncRNA from 1 species